rnacentral:tRNA from 1 species
UCCCUGGUGGUCUGGUGGUUAAGACUUUGCACUUCCAAUGCAAGGGGUGAGGGUUCAAUCCCUGGUUGGGGAA